rnacentral:rRNA from 1 species
GACGAACGCUGGCGGCGUGCUUAACACAUGCAAGUCGAACGGAAAGGCCCUGCUUUUGUGGGGUGCUCGAGUGGCGAACGGGUGAGUAACACGUGAGUAACCUGCCCUUGACUUUGGGAUAACUUCAGGAAACUGGGGCUAAUACCGGAUAGGAGCUCCUGCUGCAUGGUGGGGGUUGGAAAGUUUCGGCGGUUGGGGAUGGACUCGCGGCUUAUCAGCUUGAUGGUGGGGUAGUGGCUUACCAAGGCUUUGACGGGUAGCCGGCCUGAGAGGGUGACCGGCCACAUUGGGACUGAGAUACGGCCCAGACUCCUACGGGAGGCAGCAGUGGGGAAUAUUGCACAAUGGGCGGAAGCCUGAUGCAGCAGCGCCGCGUGCGGGAUGACGGCCUUCGGGUUGUAAACCGCUUUCGCCUGUGACGAAGCGUGAGUGACGGUAAUGGGUAAAGAAGCACCGGCUAACUACGUG